rnacentral:rRNA from 1 species
UACGUAGGUCCCGAGCGUUGUCCGGAUUUAUUGGGCGUAAAGCGAGCGCAGGUGGUUUAUUAAGUCUGGUGUAAAAGGCAGUGGCUCAACCAUUGUAUGCAUUGGAAACUGGUAGACUUGAGUGCAGGAGAGGAGAGUGGAAUUCCAUGUGUAGCGGUGAAAUGCGUAGAUAUAUGGAGGAACACCGGUGGCGAAAGCGGCUCUCUGGCCUGUAACUGUCACUGAGGCUCGAAAGCGUGGGGAGCAAACAGG